rnacentral:rRNA from 1 species
GGAGGCAGCAGUGGGGAAUAUUGGACAAUGGGCGAAAGCCUGAUCCAGCCAUGCCGCGUGUGUGAAGAAGGUCUUCGGAUUGUAAAGCACUUUAAGUUGGGAGGAAGGGCAGUUACCUAAUACGUGAUUGUUUUGACGUUACCGACAGAAUAAGCACCGGCUAACUCUGUGCCAGCAGCCGCGGUAAUACAGAGGGUGCAAGCGUUAAUCGGAAUUACUGGGCGUAAAGCGCGCGUAGGUGGUUUGUUAAGUUGGAUGUGAAAGCCCCGGGCUCAACCUGGGAACUGCAUCCAAAACUGGCAAGCUAGAGUAUGGUAGAGGGUGGUGGAAUUUCCUGUGUAGCGGUGAAAUGCGUANAUAUAGGAAGGAACACCAGUGGCGAAGGCGACCACCUGGACUGAUACUGACACUGAGGUGCGAAAGCGUGGGGAGCAAACAGGAUUAGAUC